UACGUAGGGUGCGAGCGUUAAUCGGAAUUACUGGGCGUAAAGUGUGCGCAGGCGGCCGCGCAAGUCGAGUGUGAAAGCCCCGGGCUUAACUUGGGAAUUGCGCUCGAAACUACGUGGCUGGAGUGUGGCAGAGGAAGGUGGAACUCCACGUGUAGCGGUGAAAUGCGUAGAGAUGUGGAGGAACACCGAUGGCGAAGGCAGCCUUCUGGGCCAAUACUGACGCUCAUGCACGAAAGCGUGGGGAGCAAACAGG
rnacentral:rRNA from 1 species